CCUACGGGAGGCAGCAGUGAGGAAUAUUGGUCAAUGGAUGCAAGUCUGAACCAGCCAUGCCGCGUGCAGGAAGACGGCUCUAUGAGUUGUAAACUGCUUUUGUACGAGGGUAAACGCAGAUACGCGUAUCUGUCUGAAAGUAUCGUACGAAUAAGGAUCGGCUAACUCCGUGCCAGCAGCCGCGGUAAUACGGAGGAUUCAAGCGUUAUCCGGAUUUAUUGGGUUUAAAGGGUGCGUAGGCGGUCGGAUAAGUUAGAGGUGAAAUCCCGAGGCUCAACUUCGGAAUUGCCUCUGAUACUGUUAGGCUAGAGAGUAGUUGCGGUAGGCGGAAUGUAUGGUGUAGCGGUGAAAUGCUUAGAGAUCAUACAGAACACCGAUUGCGAAGGCAGCUUACCAAGCUACGUCUGACGUUGAGGCACGAAAGCGUGGGGAGCAAACAGGAUUAGAUACCCCAGUAGUC
rnacentral:rRNA from 1 species